UACGGGGGGGGCAAGCGUUGUUCGGAAUUACUGGGCGUAAAGGGCUCGUAGGCGGCCAACUAAGUCGGAUGUGAAAUCCCCAGGCUCAACUUGGGAACUGCAUCCGAUACUGGAUGGCUUGAAUUCGGGAGAGGGAUGCAGAAUUCCAGGUGUAGCGGUGAAAUGCGUAGAUAUCUGGAGGAACACCGGUGGCGAAGGCGGCAUCCUGGACCGGUAUUGACGCUGAGGCGCGAAAGCUAGGGGAGCAAACGGG
rnacentral:rRNA from 1 species